UAUUAUUAUUAUUAUUAUUAUUGAGUUGCCCAAGUUCUUUGUACAUUUUAGAGAUUAGGCUCUUGUCUGUUGCAUCACUGGCAAAGAUUUUUCUCCCAUUCUGUGGGUUGUCUUUUCAUUUUUUUUAAUGGCUUUCUUUGCUGUGCAAAAACUUUUGAGUUUGAUUAGGUCCCAUUGGUUUAUUUGUGUCUUUAUUUUCAUUAUUCUAAGAGGUGGAUCAAACAAGAUAUUUCUGUGAUUUAUGUCAAAGAAUGUUCUGCCUAUAUUAAUGAAGUAUCAGGUACAUGAUCUACUGUACAAAUUCUCCCAUUACAAACUUACUCUUUGAUGACCUGGCAGGACAUAUACAGUACAACCCUAAGAGCAAGGGCAUAAGGAAGGAAUUUUUCAAGUUUGUUUUCAUAUAAACUGAAAUGCAAAGAAGUAGUUCUUAGUAUAGUCUUCUGGUAUGUCAGGAAGUGGUGGAGAAAUGUUUUCCUUUUUAGAUCAAAGAACGCAUGAGGCAGGACUUUCAGUUUCAGCACACAGGAUCUACAUUAGAUUUUUUUUACUACCCUUUUAAUGAUAGGGUCUAUGAUGGGCCAAGAAGCUGCAGAAGUAUGUUCUUUUGGGCUCUUUAUAUAAUUGUAAAAACCCUUGAAACUUGGGUUAGUAGAACAAUAAUAUGGAAACUUUAAAGAAAGUAAUGAUAAAAAACAUGGCUUGCUAAUGUGCUCUGGGAAGCUUAUGAUUCUGUAUUUUGGAGUAUGAGGGUUUUUUUAAAUCAUUUUACUACACCUAACUUAGUUGAAGCCAGGGUGUACAUGUAGGUGAAAAACUUAUCUGAAGAUUUUUAUCAUUAUAUAAAAUAUAUAUUAUUUAUUUACAUGUAUUUAUAUAUAAUUAUACUUAUAUUGUAACAUGAAAUUAAUUGAAAGUUGGCCAUGUUCUAAUUUUUCUUUUUGCUGCUUCAAUGCAGAUUGGGUCUAUCAGUUACCAACCCAAGGGAGACCAGAAAUGGAUUCCAGUCUGGAUUUUGUUUCCAUGGUAACUCAUUAGUGACCAUAGCUUGUUGUACUUCUUUUUCUAGCUGUUUAACUGACUUAGAUCUUUACUUUAAUGUAAUGACUAUUUGUAGGCAUUAUGCCAAGUGUAAAGAAUCUGAGGAAUAAGAAAAGAAGAGAUAGAAAAUACUGUCUUGCCAACAACACCUGAUUUUAACUUACUCAAGGUCGCAAAGAAGUGUCAAAGCUAAGAAUAGAACUCAGGGGCCAAUCCUGGGUUUGUCAUCCACAUCUGACUACCCCCACUCUAUUUCUCUUGUGUCGCAAGCUCUUUGUUGCCAUCACUUUGUCUUGGUUUUUUUCCAUGUCCACUUCUUUGCCUAAAUGUGACUGUUUUCCGGCUCAGAGCCCAGCUUGGUUUAAAUUUUUAUUAUUUGUUCUACCCCGGGUUCUAUUUGAAGUAAGACUUCCAUAUUAUUAUUGUUAUUGAGUUCAUUCAUUUUUUAAGUCUAUGGGGCAAAUAAAAAUCUGAAUUUAGGCCCAAGGCAGCUUGCAUAAUAUGAGUUUAUAUGAUGAGAUAACAGCACCCUAUUGCUGUGAAAAAGCAAAAAAUAUAAUUAAGUGCUAGCCAUCCUUGAGAACUCCCAAUUGAUCCUUUAUUCUUCAGAUCAAAUGUUCUAAGACCUUCCUGACUCCACUUGCAGAGGUAUCACCUUUCCCCUGUGUCCUCACAAUAUUCAGUGCAAUUAUGGCUCUGGCCACAUUGCUAUAAUUAUCUCUUCCCAUAUAAAGUGGCCCAUGCCAUUCCUGCAGUGGUUUCCCACUACAGUGAGGCUAAAAUAGAUCCUCUUAACUGUGCCAUGCAUGGCUUUCUGCCUCCUGCUCUCUGUCCACCUCUCCAGAUUCAUUUUGUGCCACUGCCUUUCAUACAGCAUUCUGGCCACACUGACAUGCUAUUUCAAUCACAACACUUACUCUUUUUAUAACACUUCUGUUAAUUUAUAUACAUUUAUUUCCAUGAUUGUUGACUGAUGUUGAAGAAGAAGGUGGUUCCUAAAAGACCAUACCCAACAAGACAGGUCAAGAUGCUCUCUCCAUGGCAAGGGCAGAAAUGGAAGAGGAGAUUAUGCAGGGUAUAGGUAGGAGCCUGAUGGAACCCUGUCUGAUGGCUUUUCUUGGCUCCAUGAAGUACAAAACUAAAAGUUAAAGAUAGGGCAUGAGAAUGAGGUAGGAUGAUUAAAUGUUUACUCAGAUGUGACUGAGUUUCUUUAUCCGUAAAAUCUCACUCACAGGAUUUUGUAAGAAUUAAAUAAAGAAUAGAUAGAUGAUAAAUAGAUGGAUAAAAUCUGUAUUAUAAGUUCGUAGAGAAUUAUACAUAGAUAUAAGGGGGUGAUGGCACAGUAUUGCAUAGUACUAUGUAGGUUAUGGGUUGAAUUGGAAUCCCCUAAAACUUAUAUAUUAACCACCAGUACCUUAGGACGUGACCUUCUUUGGAAGUAGGGUCAUUGCAGACAUGAUAAUUAGGAUGAGAUCAUACUGGAGUAGAGUUGGACCCCUAAUGUAAUAUAACAUGUCCUUAUAAAGGGAGAGACUUGGAUACAAUCAGUUAGAAAGAAUGUCACACGAACAUGAGGGUAGAUAUUGGGGUGAUGUAUCAUCUGCGAGCCAAGGAUGGAGCAUGUGAGAGCAGAGGCUUUGGAGAUUGACUGUCUUGAUUUGAUUCAAGGCUCUUAUCACUUAGUAGCUAUAAAACGUUGGAUAAGUCAUUUAGUUCUGUUCUCACCUAUAAAUUUCAGACAACACUAUCAAAAGUGAGAGCUUACUCUGAAUGCUAUUCAGCUAUAUUUCAUAGUAUCUCAUCUCACGCUCUGUCCCAGGUGUCCCAGGUACUAGUCUAUUCUCCCAUAUGGUCUUCACAGCCCUGAAAGUAUGUCACCUCAGCACCCUUAUUUUAUGGCUUCAGAUGCAGGACUAAGAAGGUAAAGCAUGCAGUAGAGAUAGAUUCAAACCAGGUUUCAGCUUUAGAACCCACCCUCUUACCAGUCCUCUCCCCCACUUCCUCGCUGAGCUAGGAGAUGAUGCUUAUGAAAUAUUAAGAACAGUGCCUGGGUAUCAGGACAACAUUUGUACUAGAGAAAAAAAUGGAAAGUGGUCACUAUCUACCUCAGGACAUAUAGUUUGAUUGUAUAUCUUUUCUCUAGCAACACAUUAUUUAGAAAGACUUUUAGUUCCCAUGUGUGCCUGGGAGUAUGAGACAGCAGUUUCCUCCUUUUCCUUCUGGAUAUCAUACUAAAGCAAAAAGAUGAAUGAGGAAAAAAAUCUGAUAAUUGCAUUUUCAGUGAAAGUAGGUGACAGCUAAAUGUGCUAAGUCAGAAGUGCCUAAGGGCUGCCAGAAGCAUCUAAGGUCACCAUGGAAGCCAUGUGGGGUGAAUGCAACACAAGCUUGGAAAGGCAGGGUGAGGAAGUGGGGAAUUAAAAGUGAAAUAGAACAGGGAAAGAAGACGAUAUAUACUUCUUGUAACAGCUAGAGUCAAAGUCAUGAUCUUUUCAUAGAUGCUAAAUGUAUUUGACAAUUUAACAUUAUGGAUAGGAAUGGGUAAAUGCAUUCUUAAUAUUGUGAAGCUACAUCUAUCUCAACUCAAAAACUGGCAUCAAACUCAAUGCGACAACACUAGACCUUCAUUCUUGACUAAAGCUUGGAACAAAAUCAGGAAUCUUCCUUUUACCACUAUUGCUUAACAUUUAUUGGAUGAAGAGUUAGACAAUAAAGAGAAUGACGUUGUAGCUUAAUUUUUAAAAUAGAUGGUGAAUGUUAUGUUAUGUGAAUUAAUUGUAUCUAAAUACCGCUUUUUUAAUACAGGAUUGGCAAAACUACUCUUUUGCAGACAAUAUUGAUAAUAAGCUCACAUACCUGGGAAAUAAAAGAGUAACUAAAAAUGUGAAACUAUCAAAAUCCCAUUCAGUACUAGACUGUACAGUAAAUAUGUAGUUAUCAGUAGAUUUCAUAUGUGUGUGUGUGUGUGUGUGUGUGUGUGUGUGUGUGUUUAUACAAAUAGCCUUUUAACCAAGAGCUUACAUAUAAACAGUAAGCAAGAGAGGCAUAUCAUAGUGGGGGCAGAAAGGUAGUAACGAAAGGGACGGCCUAUGCAGUGCAACUGGUAAAACUGGGUGGUGGUCCAGAAAAAAGUUGAAUCUAUCUCUUAAGCUAUGUUUAAAAAAAAAAGAUUUAAGUGAAAAUAAGAAGAAAUUAUAAAAUCGUAGGAAGAAAAGAUGGAGGAACUACGUUAUAAACUUGGGGCAAAGAAGGUCUUACUAAACUGCUCUGAAAAUCUAGAAGCUAUAAAAGAAAGAAUUGAUGAAUUUAACUACAUACAUACAUUAAAAAAUUGCAUAGAAAAACUGUAAGCAAAGUGUAAACACAAAUGACUAAAUAGGAAAAAAUUGUAAUUCAUUUAUAGAUGAAGACUAAUAUCUGCCACUUUUCUAAAAGCAAAGCUUGUAUCAGUAACUAAAGCUGGUAACACUCUGCUUUCUUAUACCUCACAUUCUAGUUAAUUACUUGUGCCUCUCUCAUGUGUGGAGACCUCUAGAAAUUAAGAAUAGACUGAUAAACUAUGAGAAAAGUGAGAAAAAGUUAUAAACAGUAGCUCACAGCGAAGAAAGUUCAAAUGGCCCUUAACCAAUAAAUCAAAUAAAAAAUAUUGACUUGGAGUUCCCGUCGUGGCGCAGUGGUUAACGAAUCCGACUAGGAACCAUGAGAUUGCGGGUUCGGUCCCUGCCCUUGCUCAGUGGGUUAACGAUCCGGCGUUGCCGUGAGCUGUGGUGUAGGUUGCAGACGCGGCUCGGAUCCCGUGUUGCUGUGGCUUUGGCGUAGGCCGGUGGCUACAGCUCCGAUUCAACCCCUAGCCUGGGAACCUCCAUAUGCCGCGGGAGCGGCCCAAGAAAUAGCAACAACAACAACAAAAG
rnacentral:lncRNA from 1 species